rnacentral:rRNA from 1 species
AGUAACACGUGGGUAACCUACCUAUAAGACUGGGAUAACUUCGGGAAACCGGAGCUAAUACCGGAUAACAUUUAGAACCGCAUGGUUCUAAAGUGAAAGAUGGUUUUGCUAUCACUUAUAGAUGGACCCGCGCCGUAUUAGCUAGUUGGUAAGGUAACGGCUUACCAAGGCGACGAUACGUAGCCGACCUGAGAGGGUGAUCGGCCACACUGGAACUGAGACACGGUCCACUCCUACGGGAGGCAGCAGUAGGGAAUCUUCCGCAAUGGGCGAAAGCCUGACGGAGCAACGCCGCGUGAGUGAUGAAGGGUUUCGGCUCGUAAAACUCUGUUAUUAGGGAAGAACAAAUGUGUAAGUAACUGUGCACAUCUUGACGGUACCUAAUCAGAAAGCCACGGCUAACUACGUGCCAGCAGCCGCGGUAAUACGUAGGUGGCAAGCGUUAUCCGGAAUUAUUGGGCGUAAAGCGCGCGUAGGCGGUUUCUUAAGUCUGAUGUGAAAGCCCACGGCUCAACCGUGGAGGGUCAUUGGAAACUGGGAAACUUGAGUGCAGAAGAGGAAAGUGGAAUUCCAUGUGUAGCGGUGAAAUGCGCAGAGAUAUGGAGGAACACCAGUGGCGAAGGCGACUUUCUGGUCUGUAACUGACGCUGAUGUGCGAAAGCGUGGGGAUCAAACAGGAUUAGAUACCCUGGUAGAGAUCCACGCCGUAAACGAUGAAGUGCUAAGUGUUAGGGGGUUUCCGCCCCUUUAGUGCUGCAGCUAACGCAUUAAGCACUCCGCCUGGGGAGUACGACCGCAAGGUUGAAACUCAAAGGAAUUGACGGGGACCCGCACAAGCGGUGGAGCAUGUGGUUUAAUUCGAAGCAACGCGAAGAACCUUACCAAAUCUUGACAUCCUUUGAAAACUCUAGAGAUAGAGCCUUCCCCUUCGGGGGACAAAGUGACAGGUGGUGCAUGGUUGUCGUCAGCUCGUGUCGUGAGAUGUUGGGUUAAGUCCCGCAACGAGCGCAACCCUUAAGCUUAGUUGCCAUCAUUAAGUUGGGCACUCUAGGUUGACUGCCGGUGACAAACCGGAGGAAGGUGGGGAUGACGUCAAAUCAUCAUGCCCCUUAUGAUUUGGGCUACACACGUGCUACAAUGGACAAUACAAAGGGCAGCUAAACCGCGAGGUCAUGCAAAUCCCAUAAAGUUGUUCUCAGUUCGGAUUGUAGUCUGCAACUCGACUAC